rnacentral:lncRNA from 1 species
GUCUGGUGGUUGGUUGUGUGCUAAUGUAUCUUUGGGUCGUGGGUUCAAAUCCUUGUGUGUGCAUUUUGGUGAAAUAUUUUUAUUUUUGUUAAAUAUUAGGUUUGUUUUAAGUUUAAAAUUGAUUAUUUAUUUUCUUUUAGUUUUUCUCUUAUUAUUUUUAGUUUUAUUUUAAGUUUUUUUCCUUUUUCACGUUCUCCUCUCUCACUAUCGUUUUUCUUUUCUCUCUCUUUCUUUUUGCUUUCUUACGACCUUUGAAAAGAAAAAAAAAGAGAAGAACAGUUCUAUUUAUGAUUUUCGAAAAGAUUUGAUUUCCUAGAACAG